AGCAGCCAUCAUUUAAAGAAAGCGUAAUAGCUCACUGGUCGAGUCGGCCUGCGCGGAAGAUGUAACGGGGCUAAACUAUGCACCGAAGCUGCGGCAGCGACACUAUGUGUUGUUGGGUAGGGGAGCGUUCUGUAAGCCUGUGAAGGUGUGUCGUGAGGCAUGCUGGAGGUAUCAGAAGUGCGAAUGCUGACAUAAGUAACGAUAAAGCGGGUGAAAAGCCCGCUCGCCGGAAGACCAAGGGUUCCUGUCCAACGUUAAUCGGGGCAGGGUGAGUCGACCCCUAAGGCGAGGCCGAAAGGCGUAGUCGAUGGGAAACGGGUUAAUAUUCCCGUACUUGGUGUUACUGCGAAGGGGGGACGGAGAAGGCUAUGUUGGCCGGGCGACGGUUGUCCCGGUUUAAGCGUGUAGGUGUGUGUUCCAGGUAAAUCCGGUUCACUUUAACACUGAGGCGUGAUGACGAGGCACUACGGUGCUGAAGCAACAAAUGCCCUGCUUCCAGGAAAAGCCUCUAAGCAUCAGGUAACAUCAAAUCGUACCCCAAACCGACACAGGUGGUCAGGUAGAGAAUACCAAGGCGCUUGAGAGAACUCGGGUGAAGGAACUAGGCAAAAUGGUGCCGUAACUUCGGGAGAAGGCACGCUGACACGUAGGUGAAGUGAUUUACUCAUGGAGCUGAAGUCAGUCGAAGAUACCAGCUGGCUGCAACUGUUUAUUAAAAACACAGCACUGUGCAAACACGAAAGUGGACGUAUACGGUGUGACGCCUGCCCGGUGCCGGAAGGUUAAUUGAUGGGGUCAGCGCAAGCGAAGCUCCUGAUCGAAGCCCCGGUAAACGGCGGCCGUAACUAUAACGGUCCUAAGGUAGCGAAAUUCCUUGUCGGGUAAGUUCCGACCUGCACGAAUGGCGUAAUGAUGGCCAGGCUGUCUCCACCCGAGACUCAGUGAAAUUGAACUCGCUGUGAAGAUGCAGUGUACCCGCGGCAAGACGGAAAGACCCCGUGAACCUUUACUAUAGCUUGACACUGAACAUUGAGCCUUGAUGUGUAGGAUAGGUGGGAGGCUUUGAAGUGUGGACGCCAGUCUGCAUGGAGCCGACCUUGAAAUACCACCCUUUAAUGUUUGAUGUUCUAACGUGGACCCGUGAUCCGGGUUGCGGACAGUGUCUGGUGGGUAGUUUGACUGGGGCGGUCUCCUCCUAAAGAGUAACGGAGGAGCACGAAGGUUGGCUAAUCCUGGUCGGACAUCAGGAGGUUAGUGCAAUGGCAUAAGCCAGCUUGACUGCGAGCGUGACGGCGCGAGCAGGUGCGAAAGCAGGUCAUAGUGAUCCGGUGGUUCUGAAUGGAAGGGCCAUCGCUCAACGGAUAAAAGGUACUCCGGGGAUAACAGGCUGAUACCGCCCAAGAGUUCAUAUCGACGGCGGUGUUUGGCACCUCGAUGUCGGCUCAUCACAUCCUGGGGCUGAAGUAGGUCCCAAGGGUAUGGCUGUUCGCCAUUUAAAGUGGUACGCGAGCUGGGUUUAGAACGUCGUGAGACAGUUCGGUCCCUAUCUGCCGUGGGCGCUGGAGAACUGAGGGGGGCUGCUCCUAGUACGAGAGGACCGGAGUGGACGCAUCACUGGUGUUCGGGUUGUCAUGCCAAUGGCACUGCCCGGUAGCUAAAUGCGGAAGAGAUAAGUGCUGAAAGCAUCUAAGCACGAAACUUGCCCCGAG
rnacentral:rRNA from 1 species